UCGCACGUCACUAAGUGUUCUGACAACUCUCUCAAGCAUCUUAACUUUAAUUGUUCCAACACCUGCAAUUUUACACGAAGCAUUAUUUCUCAUCAAAAUAACACAUUCAGAUACUGUUUCAUAAGUUGUAAACCAAUCCUGAUUGGGACUCAUGUGGAAGGCGCAGCUCGAAUCAAGGAUUCAAUCAUUGCUUACUUUAAAAUUGUUAACAGAAGAGACUAGAAGUUCACCAUCGCUGUAGUUUUCUACAAUAUCAGC
rnacentral:lncRNA from 1 species